UGCGUCCUACGGGGGGCAGCAGUGGGGGAUAUUGCACAAUGGGGGGAACCCUGAUGCAGCGACGCCGCGUGGGUGAAGAAGCGCCUCGGCGCGUAAAGCCCUGUCAGCAGGGAAGAAAAUGACGGUAACUGAAGAAGAAGCCCCGGCUAACUACGUGCCAGCAGCCGCGGUAAUACGUAGGGGGCAAGCGUUAUCCGGAUUUACUGGGCGUAAAGGGGGCGCAGACGGCGAUGCAAGCCAGGAGGGAAAGCCCGGGGCCCAACC
rnacentral:rRNA from 1 species